AUUUGAAUUCCGAAUUCAUUAAAAAAUAUAUAAAAAGUAUAGUCAAAGAAGUAUUCUCUUCAAUCCUAAUUAUUGAUCCUUUAUUGUUCUUUGUAAUCAUAUGUUAUGCCCCAAAGAGUGGUAGUAGAUAUGAAAUUGAUACUUUAACUUUGAGUGCCAAUAAUUCCUUUAUAAAAACUCCAAAUCACAUAAAAUUUGCAUCCAAUUUGUACCCAAAAUCAUAA
rnacentral:lncRNA from 1 species